rnacentral:rRNA from 1 species
GGGUUGUGAGGUUAAGCGACUAAGCGUACACGGUGGAUGCCCGGCAGUCAGAGGCGAUGAAGGACGUGCUAAUCUGCGAUAAGCGUCGGUAAGGUGAUAUGAACCGUUAUAACCGGCGAUUUCCGAAUGGGGAAACCCAGUGUGAUUCGUCACACUAUCAUUAACUGAAUCCAUAGGUUAAUGAGGCGAACCGGGGGAACUGAAACAUCUAAGUACCCCGAGGAAAAGAAAUCAACCGAGAUUCCCCCAGUAGCGGCGAGCGAACGGGGAGCAGCCCAGAGCCUGAAUCAGUGUGUGUGUUAGUGGAAGCGUCUGGAAAGGCGCGCGAUACAGGGUGACAGCCCCGUACACAAAAAUGCACAUAUUGUGAGCUCGAUGAGUAGGGCGGGACACGUGGUAUCCUGUCUGAAUAUGGGGGGCCCAUCCUCCAAGGCUAAAUACUCCUGACUGACCGAUAGUGAACCAGUACCGUGAGGGAAAGGCGAAAAGAACCCCGGCGAGGGGAGUGAAAAAGAACCUGAAACCGUGUACGUACAAGCAGUGGGAGCACGCUUAGGCGUGUGACUGCGUACCUUUUGUAUAAUGGGUCAGCGACUUAUAUUCUGUAGCAAGGUUAACCGAAUAGGGGAGCCGAAGGGAAACCGAGUCUUAACUGGGCGUUAAGUUGCAGGGUAUAGACCCGAAACCCGGUGAUCUAGCCAUGGGCAGGUUGAAGGUUGGGUAACACUAACUGGAGGACCGAACCGACUAAUGUUGAAAAAUUAGCGGAUGACUUGUGGCUGGGGGUGAAAGGCCAAUCAAACCGGGAGAUAGCUGGUUCUCCCCGAAAGCUAUUUAGGUAGCGCCUCGUGAAUUCAUCUCCGGGGGUAGAGCACUGUUUCGGCAAGGGGGUCAUCCCGACUUACCAACCCGAUGCAAACUGCGAAUACCGGAGAAUGUUAUCACGGGAGACACACGGCGGGUGCUAACGUCCGUCGUGAAGAGGGAAACAACCCAGACCGCCAGCUAAGGUCCCAAAGUCAUGGUUAAGUGGGAAACGAUGUGGGAAGGCCCAGACAGCCAGGAUGUUGGCUUAGAAGCAGCCAUCAUUUAAAGAAAGCGUAAUAGCUCACUGGUCGAGUCGGCCUGCGCGGAAGAUGUAACGGGGCUAAACCAUGCACCGAAGCUGCGGCAGCGACGCUUAUGCGUUGUUGGGUAGGGGAGCGUUCUGUAAGCCUGCGAAGGUGUGCUGUGAGGCAUGCUGGAGGUAUCAGAAGUGCGAAUGCUGACAUAAGUAACGAUAAAGCGGGUGAAAAGCCCGCUCGCCGGAAGACCAAGGGUUCCUGUCCAACGUUAAUCGGGGCAGGGUGAGUCGACCCCUAAGGCGAGGCCGAAAGGCGUAGUCGAUGGGAAACAGGUUAAUAUUCCUGUACUUGGUGUUACUGCGAAGGGGGGACGGAGAAGGCUAUGUUGGCCGGGCGACGGUUGUCCCGGUUUAAGCGUGUAGGCUGGUUUUCCAGGCAAAUCCGGAAAAUCAAGGCUGAGGCGUGAUGACGAGGCACUACGGUGCUGAAGCAACAAAUGCCCUGCUUCCAGGAAAAGCCUCUAAGCAUCAGGUAACAUCAAAUCGUACCCCAAACCGACACAGGUGGUCAGGUAGAGAAUACCAAGGCGCUUGAGAGAACUCGGGUGAAGGAACUAGGCAAAAUGGUGCCGUAACUUCGGGAGAAGGCACGCUGAUAUGUAGGUGAAGUCCCUUGCGGAUGGAGCUGAAAUCAGUCGAAGAUACCAGCUGGCUGCAACUGUUUAUUAAAAACACAGCACUGUGCAAACACGAAAGUGGACGUAUACGGUGUGACGCCUGCCCGGUGCCGGAAGGUUAAUUGAUGGGGUCAGCGCAAGCGAAGCUCUUGAUCGAAGCCCCGGUAAACGGCGGCCGUAACUAUAACGGUCCUAAGGUAGCGAAAUUCCUUGUCGGGUAAGUUCCGACCUGCACGAAUGGCGUAAUGAUGGCCAGGCUGUCUCCACCCGAGACUCAGUGAAAUUGAACUCGCUGUGAAGAUGCAGUGUACCCGCGGCAAGACGGAAAGACCCCGUGAACCUUUACUAUAGCUUGACACUGAACAUUGAGCCUUGAUGUGUAGGAUAGGUGGGAGGCUUUGAAGUGUGGACGCCAGUCUGCAUGGAGCCGGCCUUGAAAUACCACCCUUUAAUGUUUGAUGUUCUAACGUGGACCCGUGAUCCGGGUUGCGGACAGUGUCUGGUGGGUAGUUUGACUGGGGCGGUCUCCUCCUAAAGAGUAACGGAGGAGCACGAAGGUUGGCUAAUCCUGGUCGGACAUCAGGAGGUUAGUGCAAUGGCAUAAGCCAGCUUGACUGCGAGCGUGACGGCGCGAGCAGGUGCGAAAGCAGGUCAUAGUGAUCCGGUGGUUCUGAAUGGAAGGGCCAUCGCUCAACGGAUAAAAGGUACUCCGGGGAUAACAGGCUGAUACCGCCCAAGAGUUCAUAUCGACGGCGGUGUUUGGCACCUCGAUGUCGGCUCAUCACAUCCUGGGGCUGAAGUAGGUCCCAAGGGUAUGGCUGUUCGCCAUUUAAAGUGGUACGCGAGCUGGGUUUAGAACGUCGUGAGACAGUUCGGUCCCUAUCUGCCGUGGGCGCUGGAGAACUGAGGGGGGGCUGCUCCUAGUACGAGAGGACCGGAGUGGACGCAUCACUGGUGUUCGGGUUGUCAUGCCAAUGGCACUGCCCGGUAGCUAAAUGCGGAAGAGAUAAGUGCUGAAAGCAUCUAAGCACGAAACUUGCCCCGAGAUGAGUUCUCCCUGACCCUUUAAGGGUCCUGAAGGAACGUUGAAGACGACGACGUUGAUAGGCCGGGUGUGUAAGCGCAGCGAUGCGUUGAGCUAACCGGUACUAAUGAACCGUGAGGCUUAACCUUACAACGCCGAAG